AAUUUUUUUGUUUUUUACUGAUUUUAUCUCCUUCUUUCACCCAAGUAUUCUUAUUUUAAGACAUUUCCCACAUUUUCACCGGUGUGAAAAGCGGCAUUCGCAGACAGAGUUUAAAAACCAGUAGCUGCUGGUUUGACGCCACUGACAGAAGCUGCAGCCUCGUUUCCAGAUGUUCCCCUCUGCGCUCCUCAGACACAGCAGUAAUUCAGCUGGUAGGGAUGUUUACCAUUUGGAGGAAUUUACAGUUUUUGGUAACGUGAAAGGAAGCCCUCAGCGCCAGUAGAUGCACAAACUAUACUCUGUUUUAUGGCACCAACGCAUUUCUGCCUGCAGAAACAAACUUAAAUGCUUCAACAUGCUAGCGCAAACCAUUCAGAUUAAGGGCUUCCAGGCAUUACAGCGUCAGUACAGUACACAGAGUGUUACAGUGUCGUGCUUGGACUGCGGUCACACUGCAGCGGCAACGUGACCACCUGCGACACCUUAUCGAGUCUGAGAGCACACAAAGUCAUCUUUUAGGUGAAAAAUGUGGGUCAGUGAGACCUGAGGACCAUUCAGAUUCAUGAAUCAGCAGAUGAGUGAAAUUCAACCCGAAUGCUGCCUGGGUUACAGCCUGAACUGUUACAAACGUGACUUAAGUUUUGGGUGAUUUUUUUCUGAUUCUGUUCAGAAAUCAAGUCUUAAAAAAUUGGAGCCAAACUGGUAACAUGGAGUGAAAACUGUUUCAUCCAGUUUUUACUCCAUGUUGUUUUUAUUUUUAAGCAGUUAUAAGAUUUCUGAAAAAGGCCCAAAAUCUGGUUGACAGAUUCAGACAUGAACUUUCAUAGCAGGAUAAAGAUGGUUACAAAGCCAGCCUUUUAUCACCUGAAGAACAUUUCCAGAAUUAGAGGUCUAAUGCCUCAGCACGUCCUGGACAAACUUGUUCAUGCGUUUAUCUUUAGUCACAUUGAUUACUGAACAGUUU